AUGGCGAGUGGCGAACGGGUGAGUAAUACAUCGGAACGUGCCCUGUAGUGGGGGAUAACUAGUCGAAAGAUUAGCUAAUACCGCAUACGACCUGAGGGUGAAAGUGGGGGACCGCAAGGCCUCAUGCUAUAGGAGCGGCCGAUGUCUGAUUAGCUAGUUGGUGAGGUAAAGGCUCACCAAGGCGACGAUCAGUAGCUGGUCUGAGAGGACGAUCAGCCACACUGGGACUGAGACACGGCCCAGACUCCUACGGGAGGCAGCAGUGGGGAAUUUUGGACAAUGGGCGAAAGCCUGAUCCAGCAAUGCCGCGUGUGUGAAGAAGGCCUUCGGGUUGUAAAGCACUUUUGUCCGGAAAGAAAUGGCUCUGGUUAAUACCUGGGGUCGAUGACGGUACCGGAAGAAUAAGGACCGGCUAACUACGUGCCAGCAGCCGCGGUAAUACGUAGGGUCCAAGCGUUAAUCGGAAUUACUGGGCGUAAAGCGUGCGCAGGCGGUUGUGCAAGACCGAUGUGAAAUCCCCGAGCUUAACUUGGGAAUUGCAUUGGUGACUGCACGGCUAGA
rnacentral:rRNA from 1 species